ACUUUCCUGUGGCUAAGUCAGCAGAGCACUGCGCUAGCAACGUAAAAGUCAUGGGUUCAAACCCCAGGGAAAGCA